rnacentral:rRNA from 1 species
CACGAACUUCAUUGGUGCCGACCGGGCUCUUCAAACCUGGCAAAUACAUUUGAAACGAGAGCUACCCACAACUGUAAUACCUGCUUUAGCGGCCCGAAACGUCCAAUGGCAUUUUAAUCCACCGCAUAGUCCUAAUUUCGGAGGCCUUUGGGAGGCAAAUGUAAAGUCUGUCAAAACACAUCUCUAUCGAGCCUUUUCAGGAUAUAAAAUGACCUACGAACAACUUGCUACCGUGCUAACACAAAUUGAAGCCUGUUUAAAUUCCAGGCCAUUAUGUCCACUAAGCGCGGAGCCGGAGGACCUAGCUGUCCUCACCCCGGCACAUUUUCUUAUUGGAGAUUCAUUAUUAGCACCGCCGGAUGUAACGACAAGGGAUGUUCCACUCACAGUCCAAUUUCUGGAAGGACAGAAACUGAUCCGGCAAUUUUGGAAACGUUGGAGUUCGGAUUGGCUAUCACAUCUUCAAGCCCGUCCAAAGUGGCGACAUGAAACCGACAAUCUACAAGUCAGCGAUCUAGUAAUUGUCAAGGAUGACCGACUGCCACCCAACGAGUGGAAACUGGGAAGGAUAAUAGAAGUUCACCCUGGAGCUGACAGUUUAGUCAGAGUCGCAACUGUUAAAACAGCAUCAGGCGUAUACAAACGAUCGGUCUCUAAACUAUGUCGGCUACCGUUGCCACAGACCUCAGAAUAAUCCUACCACCGUUGCUAGCUCUAUUCGACCAUACAUGUACCAUAACGAACACUUUAUUUAUUCACAGAGCAUUCACAUGUGACAUCCUUUGGUUUCUAAUACUGGUCCCAGUAUUGGGGGCGGCAUGGACGGUUUUCUAAGGGUUAAACUACAAAGAGAGUGAGAGAGCUCUAACUGCGAUUGCCCACUCGGAGAACGGCGUCGUUUCAUGCUAGGGCAGCGUAACCUCGUUUCCGAUCACCAUGAAGAGUCUUCGUUUGCGUGUCGACGAAAUCACAACGACAAUUAGCAGUUGCAGCCGGCCGCGCUUAAACCCGUAUUACCCAUUACAUACAUACAUACUCUAUACGCGAUUAAGAUUAAAGUUUAAGUUGAUUGAAGUCCAAAUGAAUAAAUAUCGAAUUGUCUAUAUCGUGUAGUACAUUAUUAAACGCAAAGAUUCCCCAGAGCAUUUCUGCUCAACAUUGAAAUCUCGUAUCGAGGAUUUCACAACAUCCUAUGUGCUUGUCCCCUCUAUACAGACUUGCGAGACCUCGAUGGACUUGGAGUGCAGUACACGGAUGGCGACUGGACCUUCUCCGAUGUGACGGCUUCUCAGGAGAGAAUGCGGACUCUCGACAGGUUCGCCGGACUGGCGUUCUCCAGGCGACAGCAGCUGCUGAACGCGCAAGCGGCGCACGGGCUGGGUGGAUUCCCUAUCCAGGCCGGUCGGGGCUAAAAGGGAGGAUCGAGCUGAGUCCUUAAGAUCGGUACCACGGGUUGUGCAGGUCCAAGGCUGCGCAUUAAGGUCGGCCCCCGAGUGGGAGUAUCGUGGUGGCUGUGGUUGAUACCCAAACGUUACGCGGGGAGAGCCGCUAGGCUCCUCGUGGAGUUGCGCUCUCAACCGGGUGCCGAGACCCAUAGAUCGGAAGACGUGUUAGAUACACCUCGCCCCUCACCAAGGGGGAUUGUAUGCCCGACCAGGAUACUUUCAAUUGGUACCGGAAGAGUCGCUAUGUACAUAGCUAUAGCUUCUUUUUAGGGGCGCUAACUGGCGCAUCGUACCAGGUUCCUGCGUAUGUAGCGGUGGUGCGUGAUGGCGUGAUAUAUGUAUAUAUAUCGCACUAAUCGAGGCUAAGCUGCAAAUAAACAUUAGACGCCGUGGUUGAAAUCCCUCUCUGAGGAACCGCCACGUAAAAUAAAGCUGAGAGAUCAGAUUCAUUCUGUCCCUAUCUACUAUCUAGCGAAACCACAGCCAAGGGAUCGGGCUUGGAAUAAUUAGCGGGGAAAGAAGACCCUUUUGAGCUUGACUCUAAUCUGGCAGUGUAAGGAGACAUAAGAGGUGUAGCAUAAGUGGGAUAUAUCAGAUUUCGGUUUGGUAUCGACAAUGAAAUACCACUACUCUUAUAGUUUCCUUACUUACUUGAUUAAAUGGAACGUGUAUCAUUUUCUAGCCAUUAUACGGAUAUAUUUAUUAUAUCUUAUGGUAUUGGGUUUUGAUGCAAGCUUCUUGAUCAAAGUGUCACGAGUUUGUUAUAUAAUCGCAAACAAAUUCUUUAAUGAGAAGAUGCAUUUAUGUAUUUUCAAUUUGAAAAUUUGGUAUAACUCCAAUUACUCAGGUUUGAUCCAAUUCAAGGACAUUGCCAGGUAGGGAGUUUGAAGGGGGCGGUACAUCUCUCAAAUAAUAGCGGAGGUGUCCCAAGGCCAGCUCAGUGCGGACAGGAACCACACAUAGAGCAAAAGGGCAAAUGCUGACUUGAUCUCGGUGUUCAGUACACACAGGGACAGCAAAAGCUCGGCCUAUCGAUCCUUUUGGUCUAAAGAGUUUUUAACAAGAGGUGUCAGAAAAGUUACCAUAGGGAUAACUGGCUUGUGGCGGCCAAGCGUUCAUAGCGACGUCGCUUUUUGAUCCUUCGAUGUCGGCUCUUCCUAUCAUUGUGAAGCAAAAUUCACCAAGCGUUGGAUUGUUCACCCAUGCAAGGGAACGUGAGCUGGGUUUAGACCGUCGUGAGACAGGUUAGUUUUACCCUACUAAUGACAAAACAUUGUUGCGACAGCAUUCCUGAGUAGUACGAGAGGAACCGCAGGUACUGACCAAUGGCACAAUACUUGUUCGAGCGAACAGUGGCAUGACGAUACGUCCGUUGGAUUAUGCCUGAACGCCUCUAAGGUCGUAUACGUGCUGGACUGCAAUGAUAAAUAGGGGGCAAUUUGCAUUGUAUGGCUUCUAAACCAUUAAAAGUUUAUCAAUUAUUUUAUGAACGACAAUGGAUGUGAUGCCAAUGUAAUUUGUAACAUAGUAAAUUGGGAGGAUCAUCGAUCACCUGAUGCCG